AUUCUAUACCCCAUUAUUUGCCCGACCCCUGUCUGCUCAGUUUUAGGUUGGGGUGACCACGGAGUAUAAAAUAACCUCCAUGAAGAAGGGGAUAUUUCCCUUAUUAGAGAACCACACUUCCAAGAACUAAUAAAUUAAUUUUCAAUGACCCGAUACCCAAUAAUCGAUCAACGAACCAAGUUACCCUGGGGAUAACAGCGCAAUCCACCCUGAAAGCCCUUAUUAACAGGUGGGUUUACGACCUCGAUGUUGGAUCAGGGUAUCCCAGUGGUGCAGCAGCUACUGAGGGUUCGUUUGUUCAACGAUUAAAACCCU
rnacentral:rRNA from 1 species